ensembl:lncRNA
GUGCUAUAUUACUCUAUAAUUACCCUGCUGACUAUAAGUUCAGUAUAUCAUGUCGUGUGGGCUUUGUAUUUCUGUAAGUCUGAUAACACUGUACAGACAACUAACAUAUUAUUUCUCGUCUUACACUUUCAGGAACUUGACUGACAUCUGUGCUUUGCCUGGUAGGUGUGCACAUACUUGUGCAGAAGAACAAGGACCAGAUCUCCAGUCUUCUCUGUCACAUCCCAACCCCACAUCCCCUCUAUCCUCUGUCCUGCUCCACCUGUUGUCUCUGCCUUCUUUCCAUCUGUAUUUCACCCUGUGGUUUGUGAGAAAUUUUGCCAAACCAAGAAUCUUAUUGCGGUUUGAUUUCAAAGCCGUGUCUCUCCUGCUCUGUCUGUUCUCUCUGCUAAAUUUUCUCUCUACCUGUUUUUCACUCUUUGGCUUGCUGCUGAGAAAUGCACAAGCCAAUAAAGCAAUAAAGAGUGCAUAUUUUGCCUCAACCUUUGAACAAACUGAACAAACAAAGAAAACUCUACGGUUUGAUUUCAAAACCGUGUCUUUCCUGCUCUCUCUGUUCUCUCUGCUAAAUUUUCUCUCUACCU